rnacentral:lncRNA from 1 species
AUUUUCACUCGGCGGUGGUCCAGGCGCACAGCGGCGGCGUGCAGGGCGUCGAGGCGGCGGUGCAGCGCGGCGGUGCGGUGGCCCAGCGCGGCCGCCUGGCCCUCGAGCUCGCCGAAGAUGUCCCCGGCGCAGCGCGACAGGGGCCUCCUGUGGGCAGAAGUGCGGACAAGGAGCUUUGUUCCUCCCCCAUGUCACCCUCCCAUGGCCCACUUGCUAGCCAUGGUAAGGGGAAAGAGGGGUGGAGGCCGCAGGAAGGCAUGUAGUGAACUGGACCUCUGGUGGAAAGGCAUCACCCACGCUGGGCUUGACUCUCAGCAUCAGGGUCCUGUCAACCCUUCAGUGAGACUUUUUCAGAAGAAUCCCUUUUAAAGUGACCUCAAGCUGACCUUCCUGCUGCGGAUUCCACAUAUGGUAUCUGAGACUCACACAGUGUGGUUGGAAGAUAGCACAGUGACCUCCCAGGCACGGCCCUCUGCCAACCCUCUACUGGCUGCCCUAGGAUGCUGGCCUUCCUCCGAUGGGAUUCAGGCCCAGUCUGCUGUUGGCCAGGAGCAGCCAGCAAGCUCCCUGGGAGGCCUGGAGAAGCCCUUCUCACUCAGCUUGGUGUUCGAUGCCAGUGCCCCCGCCCAUUGUGGGGUGAGGGUGGGACUCUCAGC